rnacentral:tRNA from 1 species
GGGGAUGUAGCUCAGUGGCAGAGCACUUGCCUAGCAUGCACAGAGCCUUAAGCUCCAUCCCCA